UACAGAGGGGGCAAGCGUUGUUCGGAAUUACUGGGCGUAAAGGGCUCGUAGGUGGCCAACUAAGUCAGACGUGAAAUCCCUCAGCUUAACUGGGGAACUGCGUCUGAUACUGGAUGGCUUGAGUUUGGGAGAGGGAUGCGGAAUUCCAGGUGUAGCGGUGAAAUGCGUAGAUAUCUGGAGGAACACCGGUGGCGAAGGCGGCAUCCUGGACCAAUACUGACACUGAGGAGCGAAAGCCAGGGGAGCAAACGGG
rnacentral:rRNA from 1 species